rnacentral:rRNA from 1 species
GACGAACGCUGGCGGCGUGCUUAACACAUGCAAGUCGAACGGAAAGGCCCUGCUUUUGUGGGGUGCUCGAGUGGCGAACGGGUGAGUAACACGUGAGUAACCUGCCCUUGACUUUGGGAUAACUUCAGGAAACUGGGGCUAAUACCGGAUAGGAGCUCCUGCUGCAUGGUGGGGGUUGGAAAGUUUCGGCGGUUGGGGAUGGACUCGCGGGUUAUCCGCUUGUUGGUGGGGUAGUGGCUUACCAAGGCUUUGACGGGUAGCCGGCCUGAGAGGGUGACCGGCCACAUGGGGACUGAGGGACGGCCCAGACUCGUACGGGAGGCAGCAGGGGGGAAUAUGGCACAAUGGGCGGAAGCGUGAUGCAGCAACGCCGCGUGCGGGAUGACGGCCUUCGAGUUGUAAACCGCUUUCGCAUGUGACGAAGCGUGAGUGACGGUAAUGGGGAAAGAAGCACCGGCUAACUACGU